rnacentral:rRNA from 1 species
GACGAACGCUGGCGGCGUGCCUAAUACAUGCAAGUCGAACGCAGUGGGGACGGGUGAGUAACACGUGGGUAACCUCCCAUCAGAGGGGAUAACACUUGGAAACAGGUGCUAAACCGAUACUGAUUGAUGGACCCGCGGUUCAUUAGCUAGUUGGUGAGGUAACGGCUCACCAAGGCGACGAUGCAUAGCCAACCUGAGAGGGUGAGCGGCCGCACUGGGACUGAGACACGGCCCAGAGUCCUACGGGAGGCAGCAGUAGGGAAUCUUCGGCAAUGGACGAAAGUCUGACCGAGCAACGCCGCGUGAGUGAAGAAGGUUUUCGGAUCGUAAAACUCUGUUGUUAGAGAAGCGUUAUCUAACCAGAAAGCCACGGCUAACUACGUGCCAGCAGCCGCGGUAAUUC